rnacentral:rRNA from 1 species
AGUUGUAAUCUAGAGAAGUGUUUUCCGUCUCGGACCGUGCACAAGUUCCCUGGAACGGGGCGUCAUAGAGGGUGAGAAUCCCGUAUAUGGCACGGACUGCCGAUGCUUUUGUGAUACACUCUCAACGAGUCGAGUUGUUUGGGAAUGCAGCUCAAAAUGGGUGGUAAAUUCCAUCUAAAGCUAAAUAUUGGCGAGAGACCGAUAGCGAACAAGUACCGUGAGGGAAAGAUGAAAAGCACUUUGGAAAGAGAGUGAAACAGUACGUGAAAUUGUUGAAAGGGAAGCGUUUGAAGUCAGUCGUAUCUGGCGGGAUUCAGUCGAGCUUUUGCCCGGUGUACUUCUCGUCCGAUGGGUCAGCAUCAAUUUCGACCGGGGGAAAAAGAUGUGGGGAAUGUGGCUGUCUUCGGGCAGUGUUAUAGCCCCGUGUUGUAUGCCUCGGUCGGGAUUGAGGAACGCAGCGCGCCUAUAGGCCAGGGG